rnacentral:lncRNA from 1 species
CUGCUUAAAGGGUUUCUGGUACUGGUUCUUCACCUCCCUCUUUUAUUUCCAUACCUACAUCACAUGGUUGAACUAAAGCUUAGGCGUGAGUGGUCCUUAAAGUAAAUUAAAGUGGUUCGAAUUGAUUUAAGAACUUGUUGCGAACUUGUUGGAUUGAAUGAAAAACUUUACUUGUUGUUUGUAACAUACUCCAUGAAAUUUGUUGAUUUGUCCACCAGGUUGUCGAGUCCCCAGCAGCAUGUGACUAGUUUUUGUGGCAGGCACAUAAAAGUGCUGAAAGGGCAGUUGUGUCAUAUGGAAUCUGUGGGCAUCCCUUUCUGCUUCAUGGUCAAAGGGGAAUAUGGUAAAAACAAGUGCACGAUGGCUGGUUUAGGCGGGAGGAAACAAAACUGAGGGGAGGCAGUCCGUCUCAGCGACACGCAAUCUGCCACAUAAAAUUAAGCUUCCUUUUUUUGUUUUUUCAAUCAGGGUUAAAUACGAAUCAAACAUGUAGCAGGUGGGGAAUCCUCUGUCUAUCAAAAGCACUUGAACAACAACAGAGUGCUUAAAAAAGCCUCGAGAGCUGGUCAUGCGGAUGCUAUUUUUCUUUCUUGCGGC